AGCUUCAUCAUCUUGCCUAUUGAUGCAUCCAAGAAGUCUGGGAGCGAUAGUAGUCUAAGUGUGUGCCCCGUUGGUGCUGUAUCAAAAACUAUGCGAGAGAAGGCACUAUACUCCUUUGAUUCAAGAAAUUGCAUGACCUUUGAAAUUGCAAUAGCCUCAUCUAGACCAGGUGGAGGAGUGUCCAACAGCUCUCCAAGUUUUAGUUCUCCCAACUGCUCAGCAAGCAUUCCGAGGCCCAUGCUGUCCAUAAUAUUUUUGACACCUUUGUCACCAUGUAGUUGGCUCGCUGCGCGGAACUCUUCCCUUGUUCUCUCAGGGCUUAUCUCUAGUGCAUAUAAUGGAGAAUCCACUCCUUGAACCGGA
rnacentral:misc_RNA from 1 species